AAUAUUGCACAAUGGGCGCAAGCCUGACCCAGCAACGCCGCGUGGAGGACGAAGGUCUUCGGAUCGUAAACUCCUGUCAGGCGGGACGAAGGCAUCCGGGCAAAUAGUCUGGAUGCUUGACGGUACUGCCAGAGGAAGCCCCGGCUAACUCCGUGCCAGCAGCCGCGGUAAUACGGAGGGGGCGAGCGUUAUUCGGAAUUAUUGGGCGUAAAGGGCGCGUAGGCGGCCCGGUAAGUCAAAGGUGAAAUCCCUCGGCUCAACUGAGGAACUGCCUUUGAAACUGUCGGGCUUGAGGCCGGGAGGGGGUAGCGGAAUUCCCAGUGUAGCGGUGAAAUGCGUAGAUAUUGGGAGGAACACCGGUGGCGAAGGCGGCUACCUGGACCGACAUUGACGCUGAGGCGCGAAAGCCAGGGGAGCAAA
rnacentral:rRNA from 1 species